CUAAAGGUUAUUUUAGCCAUGGAGAAAUGCAACCAUGUUGCUACUGCUCUCAAUGGUAUUGCUGCCCUGAAUUUAUCAGGCACUAUCGACAAUGGACAGUGGGAAAAAGUUGUGAUAGACUACAUUCUGGACGACGAUCGUGCUAUGCAAUGCUGACUCUCAUUGCAUAACACGUUUUGAAAUCAGUGGAACACAACGGGCCAAACAAGCUGUGCAAACUAAACGGAAACACAGGAUGUCUGAUAAAAGAGGUUGCAGUCUGCCGUGAAGCGUUCAUCCAUGUAUACAGCAUGAAUCAGUAGAACACGCCUGACUCUAAUCCACCAUCAAAAAGAGAGCUGCCACAGAUCAAGCACUUCAGCGUCGAUGCUCUGGAGCCUGGUGUUGUCGCUAAGAAGCAUUCGGUCUGUCGGGACCAGGUUUCAGCUGCUGCACAACGCUGACAUCCUUCCUCUCUGCCUGUAAAAGCAGCACCUGGACUGGACACAGCUAGACAAACUAUCUUUUUGUCCAAGAUCAGGGAGUUUUGCGAUGAAGAAGCUAUGGAUAUCACAUGCCCUGCACCAAAGUCAAGGGCAGGACAGAAACAGGCUCUCCGAAUAUAGAUUUCUUGUUCAUGCGUGGCUAUACGGACCAGUCAUCAGCACUAUCUGCAGUGCCCCGAUUCACGACUCUCUCCUAACACACCAUUUCUUUUGUCCUGCUGCUCAGCCACUUUACCCCUGAUUGUAUACAUACAUACAUACCUUGUCUAUCACGGAUAUCAUUAUUGUUCUUGUACAUACUGUAUAUUUUAUUCAUAUUGACACUAUCAGAUAUUGCUACUAUCCAAGUAACCAUUUGGCUGGACCGUUUACACCUUCUGUAGAGACCAUCCACUUAGCAAGACAUAGCAAAAUAUUGAUAUAUAGAUAUGUGUGGUCAUAACAUGAUAUUGUGACAUACCACAACAAUAUCAUGUGACCGCGUCCACCACUUAAAUAAAUGGAGCAUGCAUCUGUUUAUGUACUGUACAUGUGCACCUCACUUAUGGAAUACUCUGUGAUAAGUGCAUGUGUAACAGUAUAUAAAGUAUGGUACUGUACUGGUGUGAAGGCAUUUGGGCAGUGAUAUAAAGUACUUAAGUAAAAAUACUUUAAAUGUACUAGUAGUAUCUGUACAUUACUAUCUGUGGCAACCUUCACUUCACUCGUAAGAAAAUAAUGUACUUUUAACUCCAUACAUUUUCCUUGACACCCAAAAGUACUUGUUACAGUUUGACAGGAAAAUUGUCCAAUUCAAACACUUAUCAAGAGAACAUCCCUGGUCAUCCAUACUGCCUUUGAUCUGGCAGACUCACUAAACACAAUUGCUUCCUUUGUAAAUUAUGUCUGAGUGUUGGAGUGUGCCCCUGGCUAUCAAUCAAUAAAAAUUUAAA